rnacentral:rRNA from 1 species
UCUUGUGUUUAUGUGAUGGGAGGAAACACCUAGCUCCAUUCCGAACCUAGCAGUUAAGCUUCCAUCAGCCGAUGAUACUGCACUUUGCAAGUGUGGGAAUGUAGGUCGAUGCAAGGA